rnacentral:sRNA from 1 species
GGCUUCUCUGUUUACGUGUGCGUCGAGUUCUGUGCGAUUUUCCUGUGAAUUCGGAAAAAACCUUUGCUUUUCCCGUUUAUGGAUACUCUCUUUUGCACUCUCUGGGUGCAAAAAUCAUGAAAUUUAAGAACUCAAUUAAGCCGGCUACGAUUUUAAUAUACAGGCACAAAGACAUUCGAGCAUGUAACUACAAUUGAUCUGUGGAUGAACCUGAGCUUAUCUUUGAAAUAAUGGCGAAUUUUUCCAACUAAGCUGAGUAAACAUUGGAAAUGAAAC